AUUUCAGGUCAUUCUAGCUCAAUUCUGAAGGCAGAGCAGAAAGGCCACCAGUCUCAGUGCCUCACUGAGGGAAGACCAAGGCCCGCCUUGGGGUCUGAUCAAAAGCUCCUGGGAGUUCCGCAGGCUUCAGGGGACAGCUGGGACUAAGGCAGAGCUGGUGGACACAGACUUGCAUUUGGCCAAAAGCGACCAUCAUUCCCAAAUAUAUCAGUGAGAGCCCCAUCCUCUCACGGAGAAAGGAAGCACCACCCAGACCUCCUCGAGGCGAAAACAUCCACAAUCGCUGAAUAUCUGCCCACUGAGCAAAGUCCAAACCGGCUGGAAGCGGAUUUACACAAAGCCUGAGUCUUUCUGCAUAUUCCAGAGACUCCCUGC
rnacentral:lncRNA from 1 species